rnacentral:misc_RNA from 1 species
UGUAGUCUGGAUACCGCAUCUUUGUCUAGCCAUAAUUCUUCCCCCGGAUUGCUGGCGCUGAUAUGGCCAAGACUAUAAAUCCUUCCUGCAAGUUUCAUAUCCUCGUUGUGUUGUUGAUUUCGUUAGAUGCCACAGCAACUACAUCAGUCGAAGCAUUCAACGGAUAAGAUUACUACAUCCCUUUACCCAUUGUCUCUUCUGGAAAUCAUGGAGCAAUUGCUUGAACUUAUACGACCCAAGAUUUGUUUAAAAAUUGAAAGGAUGAAGAUGCGAAAUUUCGACAAAUAUGAAUAGGACGACGUACGGUGGUUGUGGUUGAAGUUAUUCCACCAGAUAACGGUAGAAUUCCAAGUGCUGAAAUUGGAAGCCCUUUAUUUGGCUAUUUAAUUGUCUUUGGAGAGUGAUGCGGGAAGUUCAUGAAAAAGCAAAGUCACCUUUUAGACCAACACUUUUU